AAGAAGGUGGAUGUUGUCAGCCUGGGCUGGCUUUCCUUGAACUCUGAUCUGCAGCGUGUUCUGAGAUAUCAUCCACAAAGUGUCAUGUCAGGGCUAAGCACUUGGGGGCUUGAAAUAAAUAUUUAUAAAGUUGAGCAAGGAACUUUGCUUGUCCUGAGGCAAUAAAGUUACACUCAGAAAAUUCCUACAGAAGUCAGUGAAUUGGCAUGUGUGUAACGAGCAGAGGGUGCCAAAACCAAGAGUCUCUACAAGGUUAUUCUUACUCCUCCCAGAAAAGAAGGAACUGGGGAGACAGGAGACAAAUGGAGCUACACAAACAUUGAUAGAAUUCAGCUGUUCAAGCUCAAAACAGAACUAAAAUUUUCCCCUGUAUGUUCAAAAAGAAGGACUAAGGAUGUGUUGUUGCUGUAGCCAAGGGAGGUGAGCUCUGCCUUAUGUCCCUGGGCUUUGUGCUCCCCAGCCGUGGAACUGCUGAUCUCAGUUCCUGGCACUGAUCAGAGGGCUGGAAACCUGAACCAAAUCCCCAACUCAUAUCAAUAUUCUGCUAUUCAGGAAUGUUUCUGCUCAAACGUGAACAUUUGGUGUUAAUGCCAUUUGUUUAACCUCAGCUGUAUUCAGGGGAGACCUUUGGUUUAUGAUUAAAUUUAAAGUGCUUUUGUUUGGUCAGAUAUUUAAUCAAGCCUGAAAGAGUUUUAAUUGUAAUAUUUAUCUACUGUUAUUUGUCCCAGAAAAAAAGCCUCAGUCCAGGAGCACGUCCUUCCCAGGACAGCACUUCCAGCUCACUGUUUUCUGACAUUCAGGAGGCAGGAGGGUGACUGAGCUUUAAGGCACCAGAAGACAAUGUGAAGGGUCAGCAUCCAACUGGCCUGACUGAGUUAGUGCUGUCCGGAUACAGCUCAGGUUGUCUUUACAUCCUGACUUACAACUCCUUCCUGGACUUAUUUCCCCUGUGAGACGUGGAUGGGAUGAUUUAUUUCUUUAAUUAACUCUCUGAAGUGCAGCUUUACUGGGGCUGUGCACGAAUCAGCCUCUCUGGAAGUUCUAAAGGCGCUGGGCUGUGAAAUGGUGACUGUUACCUGUUGUUUGAUUGCUGGGGGGUUGGAGUGAGGAGAGGAGCCAGAGGCAGCUGUGCUUAACCAAGGAUCUCAGGGAAAUGUGGGAGCUGUGAGCUGCCUUCCAGGACAAAUGGAUGUUAUUCUUUGCUAGGCUUUUUCCCAGCGGAUGCUUGGACAGAGACAGAGCAGGGAGGAGAAUCAAUGCACUGUCAGAGGAGAAAGCUGAGCCUCACACCUGAGCUGCCUGCAGCAUAGGAAUGAGGGUGAUCUCUUAAGAAUGAAUCCCUGGACUUCUAGAAAGUUUCAGACAAGCUUUGGCCAGGGAUUUAAUGGAGAAACUCCCUGCCCGAGGACAUGGUGUGGAGCAGACUGUGCACAGGCUGGAGAAGCAGUGAGACAAAUUAAGAGGGAAGUCUAUUAAGGGCUAUUAAACAUAAUUACUACA